AGCAGCCGCGGUAAUUCCAGCUCCAAUAGCGUAUAUUAAAGUUGUUGCAGUUAAAAAGCUCGUAGUUGAAUUUCGGGAUUGACGUGAUGGUCGUGCCUUAAGGGGUAUGAACUGUCGCUGUUGAUUUCUCACCUUCUGGAGAAACUUGAUGUCCUUAAUUGGGUGUCUUGCGGAUCCAGGACCUUUACCUUGAAAAAUUAGAGUGUUUAAAGCAGGCAUUUUUGCUCGAAUACAUUAGCAUGGAAUAAUAGAAUAGGACGGCAUGGUUCUAUUUUGUUGGUUUCUAGGAUCACCGUAAUGAUUAAUAGGGAUAGUUGGGGCAUUAGUAUUCAGUUGUCAGAGGUGAAAUUCUUGGAUUUAUUGAAGACUAACUACUGCGAAAGCAUUUGCCAAGGAUGUUUUACAUUAAUCAAGAACGAAAGUUAGGGGAUCGAAGACGAUCAGAUACCGUCGUAGU
rnacentral:rRNA from 1 species